GAUGAACCCUAGCGGGAGGCUUAACACAUGCAAGUCGAGGGGCAGCACGAGGUAGCAAUACUUUGGUGGCGACCGGCGCACGGGUGAGUAACGCGUAUGCAACCUACCCUGUACAGGGGGAUAACCCGGAGAAAUUCGGACUAAUACCCCAUAACGAUAUUUGGAGGCAUCUUUGAAUAUUUAAAGUUCCGGCGGUACGGGAUGGGCAUGCGUGACAUUAGCUAGUCGGUAGGGUAACGGCCUACCAAGGCAUCGAUGUCUAGGGGUCCUGAGAGGGUGAUCCCCCACACUGGUACUGAGACACGGACCAGACUCCUACGGGAGGCAGCAGUGAGGAAUAUUGGUCAAUGGGCGCAAGCCUGAACCAGCCAUCCCGCGUGAAGGAAGAAGGCGCUAUGCGUUGUAAACUUCUUUUCCAGGGGAAUAAAAUUUUGUACGUGUACUGAAUUGAAGGUACCCUGGGAAUAAGCAUCGGCUAACUCCGUGCCAGCAGCCGCCGUAAUAC
rnacentral:rRNA from 1 species